UAGGAAGGGACCGGACAUAGUGGUCUGUGUGUUUUAGAAGAUAAGCGGUCAACAUGCACUCUUGUUUAAGAUGUUGGCCGCUGAUAGUGAGUUAUUGUUUUGGCCUGAGAAAGCCAUUAAAGGCUAGAUAGGUAGCAGUUUUGAUAACUGCAUUGGUGCGUGGCUCGGAAGUGCCUGGUCGAGUGGUUCUGUCAUGGUUUGAACAUUGUAUGUCUAUG